rnacentral:rRNA from 1 species
GAUGAACGCUGGCGGCGUGCCUAAUACAUGCAAGUCGAGCGAACAGACGAGGAGCUUGCUCCUCUGACGUUAGCGGCGGACGGGUGAGUAACACGUGGAUAACCUACCUAUAAGACUGGGAUAACUUCGGGAAACCGGAGCUAAUACCGGAUAAUAUAUUGAACCGCAUGGUUCAAUAGUGAAAGACGGUUUUGCUGUCACUUAUAGAUGGAUCCGCGCCGCAUUAGCUAGUUGGUAAGGUAACGGCUUACCAAGGCAACGAUGCGUAGCCGACCUGAGAGGGGGGACGGCCAACACUGAAGUUGAACCCGGGCCAAGCCUCCUCGGGGGGGAGGCAGUAGGGAUUUUUCCGCAAGGGGGAAAACCCUGCCGGGCCAACGCGGGGGGAGUAAUAAGGGUCUUGGAAUCGAAAACCUGGUUUAUGGGGGAAAAAAAAAUUUUUAAGUAACAAUGCCCGUCUUGAGGGUCCCUAAUAAGAAGCCCACGCCAACCUCCGUC